GAUGAAGAACGUAGCGAAAUGCGAUAAGUAGUGUGAAUUGCAGAAUUCCGUGAAUCAUCGAAUCUUUGAACGCACAUUGCGCCUUCUGGUAUUCCGGAAGGCAUGCCUGUUCGAGAGUCAUUAACAACCGUUUCGAUCCCUUUCUUUCAGAAAUUACAAAGAGGAAAAGGGUUUGGUUAUGGUGGAGGAGGGAAAGGGAGCGUUUAGCCUGUAAAAAAAGAGGCUGUGUUCCGCCUCCCCCCCAAAAUUGUACAGGCGGUCGUGUGCGCCCACGCAUCGAGGUGUUGUAAAAGCUGCCACGGCACUUUUCACCUGUGCAGUGCGAGAUUGGCCAGCCGGUUUAAAAACCCCUCCAAACAAUCAAAGGUUGACCUCGGAUCAGGUAGGGAUACCCGCUGAACUUAAGCAUAUCAAUAAGCGGACGA
rnacentral:misc_RNA from 1 species